UGCAUGCCUGCAGGUCGACGAUUGCCUACGGGAGGCAGCAGUGGGGAAUUUUGGACAAUGGGGGCAACCCUGAUCCAGCCAUGCCGCGUGAGUGAAGAAGGCCUUCGGGUUGUAAAGCUCUUUCAGCCGGAAAGAAAUCGCCACUCCUAAUACGAGUGGUGGAUGACGGUACCGGAAGAAGAAGCACCGGCUAACUACGUGCCAGCAGCCGCGGUAAUACGUAGGGUGCGAGCGUUAAUCGGAAUUACUGGGCGUAAAGCGUGCGCAGGCGGUUUUGUAAGACAGGUGUGAAAUCCCCGGGCUUAACCUGGGAACUGCAUUUGUGACUGCAAGGCUAGAGUGUGGCAGAGGGGGGUAGAAUUCCGCGUGUAGCAGUGAAAUGCGUAGAUAUGCGGAGGAA
rnacentral:rRNA from 1 species